rnacentral:rRNA from 1 species
CGGCGAGUGAAGCGGCAACAGCUCAAAUUUGAAAUCUGGCUCCUUUGGAGUCCGAGUUGUAAUUUGUAGAGGGUGCUUUGGCGUUGGUUGUGGUCUAAGUUCCUUGGAACAGGACGUCACAGAGGGUGAGAAUCCCGUACGUGGCCGCCAGCCUCCGCCGUGUAAAGCCCCUUCGAUGAGUCGAGUUGUUUGGGAAUGCAGCUCUAAAUGGGAGGUAAAUUUCUUCUAAAGCUAAAUAUUUGCCAGAGACCGAUAGCGCACAAGUAGAGUGAUCGAAAGAUGAAAAGCACUUUGGAAAGAGAGUCAAAAAGCACGUGAAAUUGUUGAAAGGGAAGCGCUUGCAGCUAGACGUGCCUUGGGUUGAUCAGCCGGACUUUUGCCCGGUGCACUCUUCCUUUGGCAGGCCAGCAUCAGUUUGGGCGGCUGGAUAAAGGUCUGUUAAACGUGACUUCCUUCGGGGAGAGCUUAUAGGGCAGACGACAUGCAGCCAGCCUGAACUGAGGUCCGCGCAUCUGCUAGGAUGCUGGCAUAAUAGCUGUAAGCGGCCCGUCUUGAAACACGGACCAAGGAGUCUAACAUCUAUGCGAGUGUUUGGGUGUCAAGCCCGAGCGCGUAAUGAAAGUAAACGUAGGUGGGAACCUUUUAGGUGCACCAUCGACCGAUCUUGAUGUCUUCGGAUGGAUUUGAGUAAGAGCAUAGCUGUUGGGACCCGAAAGAUGGUGAACUAUGCCUGAAUAGGGUGAAGCCAGAGGAAACUCUGGUGGAGGCUCGCAGCGGUUCUGACGUGCAAAUCGAUCGUCAAAUUUGGGCAUAGGGGCGAAAGACUAAUCGAAC